rnacentral:rRNA from 1 species
UACGAAGGGGGCGAGCGUUAUUCGGAAUCACUGGGCGUAAAGCGUGCGUAGGCCGUUUUGUAAGUUGGAAGUGAAAGCCCGGGGCUUAACCCCGGAAUUGCUUUCAAAACUGCAGAACUAGAGUCCGGGAGAGGAUAGCGGAAUUUCCAGUGUAGUAGUGAAAUACGUAGAUAUUGGAAGGAACACCAGUGGCGUAAGCGGCUAUCUGGACCGGUACUGACGCUGAGGCACGAAAGCGUGGGGAUCAAACAGG